GAGUAGCUGGGAUAACAGGCAUGCACCACCAUGCCCAGCUAAUUUUGAACUUUUAGUAGAGACGGGGUUUCACCGUGUUACCUGGGUUAGUCUCGAACUCCCAACCUCAGGUGAUCUGCCCACCUCAGCCUCCCAAAGUCCUGGGAUUACAGGUGUGAGCCUAUUUUAAGAUUAUAGCAUAAUCUUGCUUACCAGGGAGCCAUUUUACCUCUUUACUAAGACUUUGAAUAACUAUACUUUGACCCACUGUGCAUUGAUCUCAAGGUUAAAAUCUGAAAGGGCAACUUUAAUUCCAUGGUUUCAUAGGGAGUCCUCUCACUGAGGCUCCAAAGUAUUGAAAGCAGCAAUAAGAGACAAGAUCCCUCUGGUAGAAGCUGCCUUCUUUCUGAAGGUUUUGCUGGUUGGCUCUCCAACUUCAGAAAGAGAGAAUGUCGCCAUCAGAUUUUUGCCUGUCUACCGAAAACAAAGGAUAACAAACACUGUUUCUGUAGCUACCAAAGAGACAGACUGCUUGGAGAACGACUUACAUAGCUCUGCAGACGCCCUGGUGGUGCCAGCUCCAGGGGAGUCGGUGCACAUGGUGUGAAGCAAUUUUUUUUUCCUGGCUUUUUGCCAUAGAUUCAGGCAGCUACAGCAACAGCAACAGCAGUGGUUCUUACUCACAUGCAGAGCUUCCAGAAUGCUUGGGAGUUUCCUGAAGAUAAAAACUUGUGAAAGAUAAAGGUAGAAGUUAUACAAGGUAGAGCAGCCAAGACUUAAAGGAGGACAGUUGCCCUCAGAACUUUUGAACCCCGGGUAACUGCCAAGCUUAAAGUCAAGGAAAGAAUGCUCACUGCCUGCAUGUGCUACAUGACACCUUGCACAGCAGAUCACAGAGAAAGAAUAGCAUGGACAAACUCCUCUCCUUCUGCAUCUUCACGGUACAAGGAAGAGGAAGAGGGUCCUGGGGGAACAGAGUUUUUCCAGCAUUAUGGAGCUGCCACAUUGGGAAAACAUAAUGAGAACUGAAGCCCCUGACUAUCAAGGCCAACUCUUUCCAACUCUUUUCAGCCACAUGGAAAGAAUCUCAGACUUAAAAGAGCUCUACUUGCCAGCUCCUGCAUUAUACAUAAAUAGAAAGGAAGAAAGAUGAGCUAAAGAUCCUGGAAAGUAGAAAAUCCAAUUGUUAUUCUGGAUUCUAAACAUUACCUGUGUGGCCUUGGAUAAACUUGAAUCUUUUCAUAUAUAAAACAAAGGAAGUUGAAUUAAAUUAUUUCUAACCCACCCUCCAGUUGAAUAUUCUAUGAUUUCAUCUGACAAACCCUCCCUCUUUUCAUCCUUGUUGUGUGUGAAAUGCUCCAUCACUCAUCACAGAUGCUUAAAAUAAAAUAGCUCUCUCUCUGUAUAGAA
rnacentral:lncRNA from 1 species